AUGCGUGCUAACUGUUUCUUUAUGAUUACAUUGGCCAUGUUGCCAGGAAGAAUUGCGGAAGAUUCAGUUACACAGGUGCCUCCUGAAUUAACGAUUGAAGAAGGAGAGUCCGUAUCACUGAACUGUAGUUACUCAAUAGCCAAUAGUUACAUUUUCUGGAACAUUCAGCGUCAAAGCGGAGGUCUACAAUUCUUGCUGAAGCUAAUUAACACAAGGAUGAAUCGGUCUCCGGGUACGCCGCAGAGGUUUAACGGGACUUUACAGAAAGACAGACAGGCGGCUCAGUUAAUUAUAUCUGGAAGUCUUGUUACGGACACCGCCGUAUAUCUCUGUGCCAUGCAGCCCACACUGUUACACGGUGGUGAUGGAUCCGAACAAAAACCACGCCUAAGUGCUGUUCAGAAUACUCAAUAG